UACGAAGGGGGCUAGCGUUGUUCGGAAUUACUGGGCGUAAAGGGCUCGUAGGCGGCCAACUAAGUCAGACGUGAAAUCCCUCAGCUUAACUGGGGAACUGCGCCUGAUACUGGAUGGCUUGGAUUCGGGAGAGGAAUGCGGAAUUCCAGGUGUAGCGGUGAAAUGCGUAGAUAUCUGGAGGAACACCGGUGGCGAAGGCGGCAUUCUGGACCGACAUUGACGCUGAGGAGCGAAAGCCAGGGGAGCAAACGGG
rnacentral:rRNA from 1 species